AGCAAGCGGACGAAGGCAUACACACCGUCCGAGGACAAGCUCCUUUGUGAGUGUUGGAGGGACAUUGGGCAAGACCCCAAGGUCGGCGCCAAACAGAAGGCAUCAACCUUUUGGAUUCGUGUUCAUCGUGAGUUCCAUGAAUGCAAGAAGUUUUCGUCGUACCAAAUUCAUAGCACACGUGCGUGGGUGUCCAUUUCGAAGCGAUGGAGUGUGAUACAACAAGAGUGCAACAAGUUUUGUGACACCCUUGAGAGCAUCAAGGCACACCCCAUGAGCGACAUCGGUAUGCAAGAUAUGGUACAUGCGCCCCUCUUCGUUUCCAUUCACGUUAUGCUUGCAUGUCCAUUUGCAUACCCAUUUUGCCCAUAUGCUUGCAUGCUAUUCAUUUGUAGGCUUUCCAAGCUUUGGAGGCAUUCAAGGUCCAACAUGGCGGCAAGUCCUUCAACCUCUCCCAUUGUUGGAUGGUCAUCAACGGGGAGGAGAAGUUCAAGGCGCAAUAUGCCACACUCAUGA
rnacentral:rRNA from 1 species